GGAGAUUUCCUUCACGUUCCUGGAGCUUCUUAUUAAAAUUCUGAAAGUGCAAAUCAGCACCAGUCCACAGGAGAGCCCACACAGCUGCAAGGAGUCUCCUCUCCUCUCUCCCCCAUCCAGAGGGAGCCAGAGCACUGCUCUGCCGGAGAAGCAGUCCCUGCCGCCAUCCGCCAUCCGGAGCAGAGCCCCUGGAGGCUUUGGCUCUUUGCCCCUGCCCUGGGAGAAGCAAGGGCUCUUCUCUCACCCAAGCUGAGGCUGUUUCCCAGGCUGCUUGCCCUGAACACCUCCACCUCUGCCCUUUGCCAACGACCCCUCUUCUUGGCCCACGGAGCCUGCGGAUCUGGAAGCUCAGGGGAAGGAUAAGGAAAGGCUCACGACAGAAUGGCCCUUCGUGGAGCGCUCGAGCUGGAGAAAUAAGAAUGGCACGGAUGGAUCCUGCAGUAUCUCCUGGGAACCAUGAUGCUUUCUGCUGUGUUAGGAAGGCCUGUGCCACAAGACGAGGUAUGGAGAGGCCCCUUGGCUCCUCAAAGGAGAAAACAGGAUGGUGUGUAAGACAGAAAUGUAAGUCACCAUUCAUGCCACAUUCCCCAGGUUUCCUAAGUGUUUGAAUGGAGGAUUUGACUGCUUCAGGGUCAAAUGUCCCCAGUGCUAGGGCUAGGAGAUUAAGGACAUCAGACAGCUGCAGCAAGGAGGGGAAGAAAAGGCAGAUCCCUGCCUCCAUUGCAGGGCUGGCGCAAGUGCAUAGUUAGAGGAUCCAAGU